UACGUAGGUGGCAAGCGUUGUCCGGAUUUACUGGGCGUAAAGAGCGCGCAGGCGGUCGUUCAAGUCGAGUGUGAAAGCCCCCGGCUCAACUGGGGAGGGUCACUCGAUACUGAUCGACUCGAAGGCAGAAGAGGGAAGCGGAAUUCCCGGUGUAGUGGUGAAAUGCGUAGAUAUCGGGAGGAACACCAGUGGCGAAGGCGGCUUUCUGGUCUGCUCUUGACGCUGAGGCGCGAAAGCUAGGGUAGCAAACAGG
rnacentral:rRNA from 1 species